CCAGAACCCCCCGUCGUAGCAGGCGGCCAAGGUCAAUUCUGAUGCAUGCACGAGCGAACCCCAGCCACCGCAAAUCCGCCGUGCACUCAUCAAGGAACAUCAGUUCACCGGCCGGCCUCAACACCUUCGAAAUGGCUUCCAAGUCCCAGAAUUUCAUCAGAAGCCGAGGGAAGCGCACCCAUACCAAGGCUUUCGUAAUCACCCCUUCCACCAGAAAGAAGCCCGACCUCCAUGGCUCGAGGGCAAGGGCUUGGCCUGCCACCAUCUAUGGCCGUCGGAGCACCUAGUCAAGCUCCACUGUCUCUCC
rnacentral:lncRNA from 1 species